rnacentral:lncRNA from 1 species
GUUGCCUUUCUCUGGAAGAGAAAGAAUAGUUCUGCCCUUUACUGGUAGAAUCUCACUCUGUAAUGGGAACAAAUCCAGGAGACAACAGCUAGCAGAAGCAAUUUUUGUGAGGUCCCUUCUGAGAGCAUUUCCCACACGACUCUGUCAAGGGAAUGCAGCUGCAGUUGUUUAUUGCUCUUAAAUACAGUGGGGAUUGCACUUUGUGACUAGAAAGAUGACUACACAAGAACACUGGCAACAGAUUUGUUUUGAAUCCUGCUCUGCAGAUGAUCUCUUCUUUUGCAGAGGAGUAAGUCAAAUUGCAUGCUGGAGUGAAGCAAACUCAAAUCAAUGGACAGAAAAGUUUGCAAACAUUUUUGCAAAAACAACAUUUAUGGAGGAAUCCAAUAUGCAACUAGCUUCUCAGAAUUAUAACCACAGCUUUAACACAGAGCCAUGGAAAAUGAGUCUGCUCAAACAAUGA